rnacentral:rRNA from 1 species
UCGGACGGGGUUGAGGAGCUUGCUUCUCAUGAGAGUGGCGCACGGGUGCGUAACACGUAUGUAACCUACCUUGUUCAGGGGGAUAGCCUCUCGAAAGAGAGAUUAACACCGCAUAAAAUCAAUUUAUGGCAUCAUAGAAUGAUCAAAUAUUUAUAGGAACAAGAUGGGCAUGCGGAACAUUAGCUAGUUGGUAAGGUAACGGCUUACCAAGGCUACGAUGUUUAGGGGAUCUGAGAGGAUGACCCCCCACACUGGUACUGAGACACGGACCAGACUCCUACGGGAGGCAGCAGUAAGGAAUAUUGGUCAAUGGACGCAAGUCUGAACCAGCCAUGCCGCGUGCAGGAAGACGGCCCUACGGGUUGUAAACUGCUUUUGUACCGGAAUAAACCUUUUCACGUGUGAGAAGCUGAAUGUACGGUAAGAAUAAGGAUCGGCUAACUCCGUGCCAGCAGCCGCGGUAAUAUGGAGGAUCCAAGCGUUAUCCGGAUUUAUUGGGUUUAAAGGGUGCGUAGGUGGCCUAUUAAGUCAGGGGUGAAAGACGGUAGCUUAACUAUCGCAGUGCCUUUGAUACUGAUGGGCUUGAAUACACUUGAGGUAGGCGGAAUGUGACAAGUAGCGGUGAAAUGCAUAGAUAUGUCACAGAACACCAAUUGCGAAGGCAGCUUACUAAAGUGUUAUUGACACUGAGGCACGAAAGCGUGGGGAUCAAACAGGAUUAGAUACCCUGGUAGUCCACGCCCUAAACGAUGAAUACUCGAUGUUGGCGAUAUACGGUCAGCGUCUAAGCGAAAGCGUUAAGUAUCCCACCUGGGGAGUACGCCCGCAAGGGUGAAGCUCAAAGGAAUUGACGGGGGCCCGCACAAGCGGAGGAGCAUGUGGUUUAAUUC